UACGUAGGGGGCAAGCGUUGUCCGGAAUUAUUGGGCGUAAAGAGCGUGUAGGCGGCCAAGCAGGUCCGUUGUGAAAACUGGAGGCUUAACCUCCAGACGUCGACGGAAACCGCGUGGCUAGAGUCCGGAAGAGGAGAGUGGAAUUCCUGGUGUAGCGGUGAAAUGCGCAGAUAUCAGGAAGAACACCAAUGGCGAAGGCAGCUCUCUGGGACGGUACUGACGCUGAGACGCGAAAGCGUGGGGAGCGAACAGG
rnacentral:rRNA from 1 species